CGCACAUUACGACCGUUUUUAUAUUUCUCUUUAACAAUGACAAACAGCUAACACACACAAGCCUGUUAGCUUGCUAAAUGCUACCUGCACUUUCAGCAGGAGCAGCCAACAACUUCCGGUCCACCGCGGACCGCGACCUCUGAACUGCGAUGCUAUUGGUCAACGCAGCCACGAGUCACUGCUCAUUAUUAGCUAAGGUAAUAGCAUACAUAUGCGUCUAAAAUAUGUACAUACAAUGACAUUUGUCAGCCCCAUGAGUUGUGGAAUAGGACGUUUAGAAAAUGAGUGAAAGCUGUUAGUUAGAGUAAACCAAGGCUGCUUUUCUUACCUGUUUUGAAGUAUCCAUCUUACAGAUGAGUUUGCUGUCUCCACCGGCCAUGCACUUGACCCACAAACUCAGGGAACAGCCAAUGGACCGUCAGCCAACAAUGUGACCUGCCAGAGCCUUUACAGAAGCCUGAGGACAGUCUACUCAGUGAGCAAAAGACGGCAUCCUCGGUGGUUCCAAUUUCCAGCCCAUUCCCCAAUUUUCAACCCCAAUGACAGACAACACACGCUUGAAUGGCUGUUUAGCUAAAGAAGGGGGAAUUGGGCUGCUGACAGUGGGGUGUUGGCGUCUGGGAAUCCUGAAAGAUGGCAGGCCAUAAUGAACCUCGGCCCGACCUUUGACCUCCCACCCCCGACACCAUCACCAGCUGAGGGCUUCCACAGAGGGCCUGCUUGUGUG